UAUAGCCGAGAGGUGAAAGAUUUAUCGCUGCAAGACGAGCCCAUGCAGGAUUAGCUAGUUGGUGGGGGUAAUAGGGCUCACCCAAGGGCAAACGAUCUUAAGUUGGUCUGAGAGGAUGAUCAGCCACACUGGAAACUGAGACACGGUCCAGACUCCUACGGGAGGCAGCAGUGGGGAAUAUUGGACAAUGGGCGUAAGCCUGAUCCAGCGACGCCGCGUGAGUGAAGAAGGCCCUUCGGGUUGUAAAGUUCUUUUAGUGGGGAAGAUAAUGACGGUACCCACAGAAAAAGCCCCGGCUAACUCGUGC
rnacentral:rRNA from 1 species